rnacentral:rRNA from 1 species
GAUGAACGCUGGCGGCGUGCCUAAUACAUGCAAGUCGAGCGAACGGACGAGAAGCUUGCUUCUCUGAUGUUAGCGGCGGACGGGUGAGUAACACGUGGAUAACCUACCUAUAAGACUGGGAUAACUUCGGGAAACCGGAGCUAAUACCGGAUAAUAUUUUGAACCGCAUGGUUCAAAAGUGAAAGACGGUCUUGCUGUCACUUAUAGAUGGAUCCGCGCUGCAUUAGCUAGUUGGUAAGGUAACGGCUUACCAAGGCAACGAUGCAUAGCCGACCUGAGAGGGUGAUCGGCCACACUGGAACUGAGACACGGUCCAGACUCCUACGGGAGGCAGCAGUAGGGAAUCUUCCGCAAUGGGCGAAAGCCUGACGGAGCAACGCCGCGUGAGUGAUGAAGGUCUUCGGAUCGUAAAACUCUGUUAUUAGGGAAGAACAUAUGUGUAAGUAACUGUGCACAUCUUGACGGUACCUAAUCAGAAAGCCACGGCUAACUACGUGCCAGCAGCCGCGGUAAUACGUAGGUGGCAAGCGUUAUCCGGAAUUAUUGGGCGUAAAGCGCGCGUAGGCGGUUUUUUAAGUCUGAUGUGAAAGCCCACGGCUCAACCGUGGAGGGUCAUUGGAAACUGGAAAACUUGAGUGCAGAAGAGGAAAGUGGAAUUCCAUGUGUAGCGGUGAAAUGCGCAGAGAUAUGGAGGAACACCAGUGGCGAAGGCGACUUUCUGGUCUGUAACUGACGCUGAUGUGCGAAAGCGUGGGGAUCAAACAGGAUUAGAUACCCUGGUAGUCCACGCCGUAAACGAUGAGUGCUAAGUGUUAGGGGGUUUCCGCCCCUUAGUGCUGCAGCUAACGCAUUAAGCACUCCGCCUGGGGAGUACGACCGCAAGGUUGAAACUCAAAGGAAUUGACGGGGACCCGCACAAGCGGUGGAGCAUGUGGUUUAAUUCGAAGCAACGCGAAGAACCUUACCAAAUCUUGACAUCCUUUGACAACUCUAGAGAUAGAGCCUUCCCCUUCGGGGGACAAAGUGACAGGUGGUGCAUGGUUGUCGUCAGCUCGUGUCGUGAGAUGUUGGGUUAAGUCCCGCAACGAGCGCAACCCUUAAGCUUAGUUGCCAUCAUUAAGUUGGGCACUCUAAGUUGACUGCCGGUGACAAACCGGAGGAAGGUGGGGAUGACGUCAAAUCAUCAUGCCCCUUAUGAUCUGGGCUACACACGUGCUACAAUGGACAAUACAAAGGGCAGCGAAACCGCGAGGUCAAGCAAAUCCCAUAAAGUUGUUCUCAGUUCGGAUUGUAGUCUGCAACUCGACUACAUGAAGCUGGAAUCGCUAGUAAUCGUAGAUCAGCAUGCUACGGUGAAUACGUUCCCGGGUCU